UACGGGGGGGGCAAGCGUUGUUCGGAAUUACUGGGCGUAAAGGGCUCGUAGGCGGCCAACUAAGUCAGACGUGAAAUCCCUCGGCUUAACCGGGGAACUGCGUCUGAUACUGGAUGGCUUGAGGUUGGGAGAGGGAUGCGGAAUUCCAGGUGUAGCGGUGAAAUGCGUAGAUAUCUGGAGGAACACCGGUGGCGAAGGCGGCAUCCUGGUCCGAUACUGACGCUGAGGCGCGAAAGCGUGGGGAGCAAACAGG
rnacentral:rRNA from 1 species